AUGGGAAAGAUAACUAAAACUCCGUUAUUCGGAACAAUGGAGCGAGCUAAUAACUUAUUGGAAAUAAUACGUACCGAUGAAUGUGGUCCGAUGAGUGUUGAAGCACGCGGCGAGUAUCGUUAUUUUCUCACCUUCACUGAUGAUUUUAGUAGAUAUGGAUAUAUCUACUUGAUGAAACACAAGUCCGAAACAUUUGAAAAGUUCAAAGAAUUUCAGAGUGAAGUGGAGGGUCGUAGUAACAAGAAAAUAAAGUUUGUACGAUCUGAUCGUGGACGCGAAUAUUUGAGUUAUGAGUUUGGCCUUCAUUUAAAACAAUGUGGAAUUGUUUCACAACUCACACCACCUGGAACACCACAGCGUAAUGGUGUGUUUGAACGUCGUAACCGCACUUUAUUAGAUAUGGUGCGAUAUGUGAUGUCUCUAACCAAUUUACCACUAUCGUUUUGGGGUUAUGCAUUAGAGACAGCCGCAUUCACGUUAAAUAGGGCACCGUCUAAAUCUGUUGAGACGACAUCGAAUGAACUUUGGUUUAGCAAGAAACCUAAGCCGUCGUUUCUUGAAAUUUGGGGUUGCGACACUUAUGUCAAAAGGCUUCAGCCAGAUAAGAUUGAACCCAAAUCAGAGAAGUGCGUCUUCAUAGGAUACCCUAAGGAAACAAUUGGGUACACCUUCCAUCACAGAUCCGAAGGCAAAAUCUUUGUUGCUAAGAAUGAGUCAUUUUUAGAGAAGGAGUUUCUCUCGAAAGAAGUGAGUGGGAGGAAAGUAGAACUUGAUGAGGUAAAUGUACCUUCUCUCGAAUUGGAAAGUAGUACAUGA
rnacentral:rRNA from 1 species